AAAAAAAAAAAAAACUAACUUUGAUAUGAGAUGAGAAGCGUCACACCACACUAGUAAGGUAGAACCACCACUAGAUGAGCAACCAAAGUUGUUGGAGGGGAGAUAUCUCCUGUCGAAACACCAUGGGGAUGGCAGCUUUGCUAACAACACCUGCUAUAAGAUCCCCACAAGAAACACCCUAGGGAACAAGCCAAAGAACUAGGAAUCACAACAUGACCUUUCAAAGGCUAGGCUUUGGAUGCCAAAACCAUAACAAAAAAUGUGAGAAGCAAAACUUUCAUCUAGGUAUAACAAGUAGAUAGCACUGCAGGGGAUGAAUGAUCAACCAAACUUCUGACAAAAAACAUCCCAAGUAGAAAAAGGCCCUAAGUGCAGAGAUAGUCUCACAAUGGCAGCUCAAACAGAAUACAUUAGAGAAGGGUAGAGCACUGCCAUCUGACUCUCCUAUGGGCUUUAAGGGACCGGGAACCACUAAAUAGUGUCGUGAACGUUUGCCUUUCUCUGCAGCAUAACAAUCAAUAGCAAAGAGAAACCUAUAUAGCAAGUCAAAGAUACCAUCAACCAAAAAGCUAAACCUGUAAACCAGCAAUACCGAAAAAAAA
rnacentral:misc_RNA from 1 species